rnacentral:rRNA from 1 species
AAGAGACAGCAGCCGCCGCGGGAAUACAGAGGGUGCGAGCGUUAAUCGGAUUUACUGGGCGUAAAGCGUGCGUAGGCGGCUUUUUAAGUCGGAUGUGAAAUCCCUGAGCUUAACUUAGGAAUUGCAUUCGAUACUGGGAAGCUAGAGUAUGGGAGAGGAUGGUAGAAUUCCAGGUGUAGCGGUGAAAUGCGUAGAGAUCUGGAGGAAUACCGAUGGCGAAGGCAGCCAUCUGGCCUAAUACUGACGCUGAGGUACGAAAGCAUGGGGAGCAAACAGGAUUAGAUACCCGCGUAGUCCCUGUCUCUUAACA